AGCUUUGUGCAGUGGCAGUAUCAUAGCCAAUGAGGUUUAUCCGAGGCGUGAUUAUUGCUAAAUGGAGUAAGUCUGAAUAAGAGUGUUAAGUUAGUCAGAAUGGAAAAUCUCAGAGUGAGCAGAUUCA
rnacentral:snRNA from 1 species